UUUUCAAACAACUCGGUAGGAGCAACCUCGCCACCGCCUCGUUCGAUUGCAACCUUGGCCUUUUCAAAGUGGGACCCGUCGGCCUCAGGACCGAGGAAAACGACAAUGAUACCAAAGGCAAUGACAGCACCGAUGAGGAUACCAUUGAUAGCAGCAUAGUCUGGGAUAUCGGUACCGGCCAGCUUGAGGGAUUUACCAGCAUCGGCUUCGAUUUGGGCGGAGCCUGCAGAUGCCAUGUUACCGAGCUGAUGGAUUGUUGUAAGUUUUCAUUAACAAAGCCUCCAGGUCUCAAGGCCAUGAGAAUAAUUAGACAACUUACUUGGUAGCAGAGACCACCGAAGAGGGCUCGGAAAGCAGGAGGAGCAACUUCACCGAGGUAAACAGGGACAAUACCCCAAGCUACAACAUUUGUAACAAUGGUCAGUAUAGGAUUUUACAAUAUAACACAUUCAAGGCGACGCACCUCCCUGGACACCGCUUUGAAUGAAGCUGAAGGAAGAGAUACUGUCAACUGCCAUGAUCUGCCAGAGUAACAGUCUUUACUUACAAACCACCAGCAGCAAGUCCGGCGAAGCUAUCGGGAAGAAUCCAAAGAGGAAUCCAGCAAGCCUAAGGGUUUAUGAGCACGUAUUGCCGAACGAAAAAUGAAGGAAGAGUGCACUUACCGUGUAGACGCAACAUACCAAGAUUGCGAACCGCCUACCAACAAAUUGAGAGACGUGACCAGCAAUAGUACCACCGACGAUAGCGCCACAGCUAUACAGGUCAUUAGCAUAAAGGGAGAUAUAACAGACUGCAAAUGACUCACUUGGAAAUGAUAGUGGCCUUGGAGGCAAGAGAGCUGGAAAGACCCUUGGUGGUCUUAAGGUAAGUGGGAUAAAGGUCUUGACUACCGUGGGAGAAGAAGUUCUGAUCGUAAUAUUAGUUGUUAAGGCUGCGGUAUACCAGCAAGUGACUCACGAAGAAGGUCAUGAGGCAUACAGCCCAGAUCCAUCGAAGCCCUGCCGCGAACUAUCAGAUCACUCCCUCCAGUUUAAAAAACUCACAAUUGGUUCUGAACAUGUUGCCCAAUUCUCGGAUGAAGUUCUUAGAUGCCUGCUUACUGGAAAUAUUCUUCGCCCUGGCCUCUUCCCGAGCGACAAUAAAUUGUUUGGAUUCGGGGAGACAAGCCCUGACAAUAGCGGCGAGCAGAGAGAAACCAGCACCGAAGAAAUAGAUUGCUCGCCAGUGAUACUUGCUUCGUUGAACGACAGUCAGAUUAAUGACUGUAAGAUGGUGAGUCAGCUUAAUGAAUAAGUGCGAAACAAGGGUCGACACAUACCAGCGGCGAGAAGGUAGCCACAGGCGUAACCCUGUUGGAGAAUACCACUGCACAAGCCUCGAGCAAUAGGAGGCACAUUCUCAAGACCACUAUACAGAGUCAGUAAUGAAGGAAGUAAUGGAAUGCUCACGUGGCCGCAGCACAUCCCCAGAUGCCGCCCAUAGCAAUACCAAACAAACUCCUGUUUUGUCGAUCAGCACAGUUCUUACAGCAGAAAUUGAGCAACCCACCUGACGGCCAAGAAUUGCUGGUACGUGUUGACGAAACCAGAUCCAAGCUCGAAUACCAUGAUCAAAAGGCAAUUAAAAACCAAGGUCCACUUUCGUCCAUAACGGUCGGCACAGAGACCAAUGAUAACGGCACCCAAUGAACGGAAUAGAAGGGUGAGGGUGAUAGCGGUAGUGAUGGAGCUAGGAUCGACAUCGAAUUGCUCUGCUAAGGAGUCAAGGGUGAGGGAAACACAGAAAAAAUCAUAACCAUCGACUGUCCAUGCGAGCCAACCCUGCGGACAAAUCAACUGGGGUACUUCUGGCGAGGGAACAUUGCGCUUACGGAAAAGAACAUUAACCAUCCGAAAAGAGGAACGGUUCGAAUGAUUUUGAAAGGGUUUUUUGUUUCAGGUUCUUCUCCAGCGACAGGCUGCCGCAGACUGGGAAUCAUACACCUCAAAAAGGAUUUGCCCCCUCUGUUGGCAUGCCAUGCUGCUAGCUGAUCGCGGAUGGAAGAGGAACGGCGCGCUGGAAGGACGAAUGCGGACUCAUCUUCGUGGUGAAGCUCGUGCUCCUGUGUUUGGCGAGAAAGGUUUGAGGUAGACAUGUGGUGAUUCUUGAUGAACACAAAGCGAAGCAAUUAUGAGUAGCUGUAGGGUUAGUUGUAGGAUUAGUUGUAGGAUUAGUUGUAGGUCACUAAUGGUUGAUGGAUGCCGUUUGAGGAC
rnacentral:sRNA from 1 species